UACGUAGGCAGCAAGCGUUGUUCGGAGUUACUGGGCGUAAAGAGUGCGUAGGCGGUCCUGUAAGUUUGGUGUGAAAUCUCCCGGCUCAACUGGGAGGGUGCGCCGAAGACUGCAGGGCUUGAGUAUGGGAGAGGUAAGCGGAAUUCCUGGUGUAGCGGUGAAAUUCGUAGAUAUUGGGAAGAACACCGGUGGCGAAGGCGGCGAGCUGGCCUGUGACUGACGCUGAGGCGCGACAGCGUGGGGAGCAAACUGG
rnacentral:rRNA from 1 species